rnacentral:rRNA from 1 species
CUGGCGGCGUGCCUAACACAUGCAAGUCGAACGAAGCAAUCAGGAGGAAGUUUUCGGAUGGAAUCCUGGUUGACUGAGUGGCGGACGGGUGAGUAACGCGUGGAUAACCUGCCUCACACUGGGGGAUAACAGUUAGAAAUGGCUGCUAAUACCGCAUAAGCGCACAGUACCGCAUGGUACGGUGUGAAAAACCCAGGUGGUGUGAGAUGGAUCCGCGUCUGAUUAGCCAGUUGGCGGGGUAACGGCCCACCAAAGCGACGAUCAGUAGCCGACCUGAGAGGGUGACCGGCCACAUUGGGACUGAGACACGGCCCAAACUCCUACGGGAGGCAGCAGUGGGGAAUAUUGCACAAUGGGCGGAAGCCUGAUGCAGCGACGCCGCGUGAGUGAAGAAGUAUCUCGGUAUGUAAAGCUCUAUCAGCAGGGAAGAAAAUGACGGUACCUGACUAAGAAGCCCCGGCUAACUACGUGCCAGCAGCCGCGGUAAUACGUAGGGGGCAAGCGUUAUCCGGAUUUACUGGGUGUAAAGGGAGCGUAGACGGCGACGCAAGUCUGGAGUGAAAGCCCGGGGCCCAACCCCGGGACUGCUUUGGAAACUGUGCUGCUGGAGUGCAGGAGAGGUAAGUGGAAUUCCUAGUGUAGCGGUGAAAUGCGUAGAUAUUAGGAGGAACACCAGUGGCGAAGGCGGCUUACUGGAC